UACGGGGGGAGCAAGCGUUGUUCGGAUUUACUGGGCGUAAAGGGCGCGUAGGCGGUCGUGACAAGUCACUUGUGAAAUCUCCGGGCUUAACUCGGAACGGUCAAGUGAUACUGUCGUGCUAGAGUGCGGAAGGGGCUACUGGAAUUCUCGGUGUAGCGGUGAAAUGCGUAGAUAUCGAGAGGAACACCUGCGGCGAAGGCGGGUAGCUGGGCCGACACUGACGCUGAGGCGCGAAAGCUAGGGGAGCGAACGGG
rnacentral:rRNA from 1 species